rnacentral:rRNA from 2 species
GAUGUUAGCGGCGGACGGGUGAGUAACACGUGGGUAACCUGCCUGUAAGACUGGGAUAACUCCGGGAAACCGGAGCUAAUACCGGAUAGUUCCUUGAACCGCAUGGUUCAAGGAUGAAAGACGGUUUCGGCUGUCACUUACAGAUGGACCCGCGGCGCAUUAGCUAGUUGGUGAGGUAACGGCUCACCAAGGCGACGAUGCGUAGCCGACCUGAGAGGGUGAUCGGCCACACUGGGACUGAGACACGGCCCAGACUCCUACGGGAGGCAGCAGUAGGGAAUCUUCCGCAAUGGACGAAAGUCUGACGGAGCAACGCCGCGUGAGUGAUGAAGGUUUUCGGAUCGUAAAGCUCUGUUGUUAGGGAAGAACAAGUGCAAGAGUAACUGCUUGCACCUUGACGGUACCUAACCAGAAAGCCACGGCUAACUACGUGCCAGCAGCCGCGGUAAUACGUAGGUGGCAAGCGUUGUCCGGAAUUAUUGGGCGUAAAGGGCUCGCAGGCGGUUUCUUAAGUCUGAUGUGAAAGCCCCCGGCUCAACCGGGGAGGGUCAUUGGAAACUGGGAAACUUGAGUGCAGAAGAGGAGAGUGGAAUUCCACGUGUAGCGGUGAAAUGCGUAGAGAUGUGGAGGAACACCAGUGGCGAAGGCGACUCUCUGGUCUGUAACUGACGCUGAGGAGCGAAAGCGUGGGGAGCGAACAGGAUUAGAUACCCUGGUAGUCCACGCCGUAAACGAUGAGUGCUAAGUGUUAGGGGGUUUCCGCCCCUUAGUGCUGCAGCUAACGCAUUAAGCACUCCGCCUGGGGAGUACGGUCGCAAGACUGAAACUCAAAGGAAUUGACGGGGGCCCGCACAAGCGGUGGAGCAUGUGGUUUAAUUCGAAGCAACGCGAAGAACCUUACCAGGUCUUGACAUCCUCUGACAACCCUAGAGAUAGGGCUUUCCCUUCGGGGACAGAGUGACAGGUGGUGCAUGGUUGUCGUCAGCUCGUGUCGUGAGAUGUUGGGUUAAGUCCCGCAACGAGCGCAACCCUUGAUCUUAGUUGCCAGCAUUCAGUUGGGCACUCUAAGGUGACUGCCGGUGACAAACCGGAGGAAGGUGGGGAUGACGUCAAAUCAUCAUGCCCCUUAUGACCUGGGCUACACACGUGCUACAAUGGACAGAACAAAGGGCUGCGAGACCGCAAGGUUUAGCCAAUCCCACAAAUCUGUUCUCAGUUCGGAUCGCAGUCUGCAACUCGACUGCGUGAAGCUGGAAUCGCUAGUAAUCGCGGAUCAGCAUGCGCGUCUACCGUAAU